rnacentral:rRNA from 1 species
ACGCACGCUGGCGGCAUGCUUAACACCUGCAAGUCGCACGGAAAGGCCCUGCUUUUGUGGGGUGCUCGAGUGGCGAACGGGUGAGUAACACGUGAGUAACCUGCCCUUGACUUUGGGAUAACUUCAGGAAACUGGGGCUAAUACCGGAUAGGAGCUCCUGCUGCAUGGUGGGGGUUGGAAAGUUUCGGCGGUUGGGGAUGGACUCGCGGCUUAUCAGCUUGUUGGUGGGGUAGUGGCUUACCAAGGCUUUGACGGGUAGCCGGCCUGAGAGGGUGACCGGCCACAUUGGGACUGCGAUACGGCCCAGACUCCUACGGGAGGCAGCAGUGGGGAAUAUUGCACAAUGGGCGGAAGCCUGAUGCAGCAACGCCGCGUGCGGGAUGACGGCCUUCGGGUUGUAAACCGCUUUCGCCUGUGACGAAGCGUGAGUGACGGUAAUGGGUAAAGAAGCACCGGCUAACUACGUG